CUACGGGUCGCUGCAGUGGGGAAUAUUGCACAAUGGGCGACCGCCUGCGGAAGAAACGCCGCGUGAAUGCAGAAGGUCUUCGGAUCGUAAAGUUCUUUUCUUAGGGAAUAAACCUGCCGGGACCCAAGGAAUAAGCACCGGCUAAAUACGUGCCAGCAGCCGCGGUAGAUACGUAUGGUGCAAGCGUUAUCCGGAAUCACUGGGCGUAAAGGGAGCGUAGGCGGCUUUGCAAGUCAGAAGUGAAAGGCUACGGCUCAACCGUGGUAAGCUUUUGAAACUGCAAGGCUAGAGUGCAGGAGAGGCAAGUGGAAUUCCUAGUGUAGAGGUGAAAUUCGUAGAUAUUAGGAGGAACACCAGUGGCGAAGGCGACUUGCUGGAGUGUAACUGACGCUGAGGCUCGAAAGCGUGGGGAGCGAACAGGAUUAGAUACCCUCGUAGUC
rnacentral:rRNA from 1 species